GGGUCGAUGGCGUAGCUGGUUAUCGCAUCUGUCUAACACUCAGGCGAUGUCGUGUGCACAGAAGGUCCUCAGUUCGAACCUGGGUCGACUCA